rnacentral:rRNA from 1 species
UGGAGCUAUUGGCUUUGAAUUGUAUUGUGGAAAUGUAUUACCAACAGAGGUGCAGGUGCCAGCCUAUUGAAAUAAAGCGUCAAUGAGGGUGAGAAUCCUGUUUGUCAUGUGCAGCCCUUUGUGCACGGUGUAUAUUUGCUGAGUCACACUCCUUGGCAUUGGAAUGCAAAGUGGGUGGUAAGUUUCAUGUAAAGGUAAACAUGCAAUUGAGACUGAUAGCACACAAGUACCAUGAGGGAAAUAUGAAAAGGACUUUGAAAAGAGAAUUAAAUGAGUUUGUAUUUGCUGAACACAAAGUAAACAGACUUGAUUUGCUUGGUGGGAGUGUUGCACUUGCUUGACAAGAGCUUUGGGCUGUGGGUGUAAUGAUUCUUUCUUUGCAUGCCAGUUUCUAUUUGUACAUCUGAUUACCUUUGCACAUGAAUGAUAAGUCUCCUGUGGGGGGUGGAUUGCAUGUGCAUGUAAUGAUUUGUGUUUUGAUAAAUGUGUCUGGUGUAUGUGUGUGUUCCUGUGCUUGGGGAUGCUUCCUUCCUUGGACUUACAAGCCCUGACACACACAUGCUGGCAAAAUGCUUCUGCUUGACCCGUCUUGAAACACGGACCAAGGAGUCUAACAGAUGUGCAAAGUUUGAAGGUGGUAUACCUUUGUGUGCAAUGAAAGUGUCAGCUGGGAUAUGUGCACCAGCACCCAAUUAAUUAGCGGACAGAGGUUUGAGUUGGAGCAUAUCUAUUAGGACCCGAAAGAUGGUGAACUAUGCCUGAACAGAAUGAAUUCAGAGGAAACUCUGAUGGAGGUUCGUAUCGAUACUGACGUGCAAAUCGUUCGUCAUAUUUGGGUAUAGGGGCGAAAGACUAAUCGAACCAUCUAGUAGCUGGUUCCCUCCGAAGUUUCCCUCAGGAUAGCUGGAGUUGCUCAGUUUUAUCAGGUAAAGCGAAUGAUUAGAGGAAUUGGGGACAGGUUUGUCUUUGACCUAUUCUCAAACUUUAAAUGGGUAAUAUGUAGUGGUUGCUGUAUGGAACUUCU